CCAAGUCUCUGGGCGAGAGAAGGCGGCUUAAUCAUGAGUGAAACAGCCACUCUCUAUAUACUUUGCCGUAGCUCAAACAGCUAUGACAUCUGAUAUCACUUUACCGUCUUGUAAAUCACACGUUAAGUAGCCGGAUUCAAGUUUUAAUUUUUUAAACAUAAUAACCGUAAUCAUAACUAUUAAGUUCAUUUGUUAAAAAUUCCAGUUUCAUUUCAGAACUGAUUUAUUUUAAAGAAUAAGUAAAUAAACGUGCUCGCUCUGCAGUUUUUUCUCCCCUAGCCAGAUCUCCCCUUCGGCCUUCAACGCGUCGCUUGCCCAGUGCAUAGGCCAUAGAUUUCCAUCUAUCGGUUAAAAUGGCGUGGUUCAUUAGCGUCAUGAAGAUGGCGUCAUCUGUCCAUCAAUCCAUCAUCAACCUCAUCGUUAAUUUACAAAUACAAACAAGAAAAAAAAUCGAUUUUGAAUCGUUUUUAUGUCAAGCAGACGCCAAGCAUCUUUGAAUAGCGUGGUCUGUGCUCUAUGAUAAGUGUUACUGCUGGAGUGAGCAAUUUCAGAUAGCGUCAUGAUGGCGUGCCCCGUUAGCGUCAUGAUGGCGUGCCCCGUUAGCGUCAUGGUUGGCGUGCCCUGUUAGCGUCAUGGUUGGCGUGCCCUAUGUAAGCGUCGUGAUUGGCGUGCCCUGUGUUAACACAAUAUGCUUUCUUUAUUCGUGUGCUGUGAUUUCAACACCAGCAUUGGUCAGAGGAGACUCGCAAGCAGCAAGCUAGAACCUCUUCAUCAGCCAGAAGCUUGCUACAAAGAAGUACACAGUACAGGGGCUGCACAGAUGUGCAACAAUUUUAUCGAGCCAUGGCAUCUGAGUGUGAUGGUGCCCUGUCAAUUUAUAAUAUGCCAACCCCUAACUAGCCUAGGAGUAAACAGGUUGAUUUGCAUUAUUUGGAUCUUCUCUAACAGAAAUCAACUGAGGACCACCAGACAGCAUCUUAACAGACGAGCUCUUCUAGUAAAAUUUUGAGUGAUGAUGGAGAUUGGGCCUACGACAAGCGUGUUGAAGUUGAAGAACAUUUACCAGAGCAAAAAGUACUGAAAGAUAAGUCUGCUGUAACCAUAGAUUCGCACAAUAGUUUAGAGCUACGGGUAGUAGUAUUUUCUCUACCGGGUUGGUUACUAUUCACGUUCUUCAGCAAUCAGAUCCAUGCAGUGCUUGCUAAAUCCGUGCAGGUUUCAAGUGAAGCGAAAACGGACAAAUUACCAAACUGGAAUCAGCGCAAGCGACAGCUCUUAUGCAAGAAGUCGUACCUACCCUCACAAGUUUGUUUGAAGUGCAUAAUGGUAUAAGCUAUUUUAAAUGCCGAUAUGCACUGCUAUACUUAUAAAGAGUUAACCAUAUUUUAUACGCCAUCACCAUAGACCACGCUAUUGA